CAAAGGCACAUUUUGUCUAACACGUCAUAUUAUUCAUAUAAAAAAUAGUCUUUUUUACAUUCUUUUAAUACUUCUAUUUCUUUUUAAGUUUAGAUUUAUUAUUUAACAACAUCAAAGUUAGGGAUGAGGAGGGGUAGGGGGUGCCUUGCCCAGGUCAAAUCGAGGAUUGGGUUGGGGCUGUCCAUGUGGCAUUUUAUACAACAAUCCAACUGAUAUAAUAGUAUAUAUAUGAAAAUAAAAUCAUAGUAAGACGUAUAAUCAUAUGUCCUAAUUAAGAAAGUUAGUCUAAAAUUUAGAUUUUGACUUUCAAACUUUAUUUUCCAACUUAGGUUUACAUCAAGUAAACAACAUAAGCAUCAUUUUCAUAGUUAUACAGUGGGUAAUGGCGGCAUAUCAUAUCAACAAAUUGCAGUUCAAUGGAGAACGACAAACAUAAUAUAUAUAGCAGUCUGAUAAAUAUGAAAACGGGACAGAGUAACAGAGAAAUGCUACACUGCCCAGACUAUAUGCCCGUUUUGUAGUUUCCUCGAGUAAUUUCUGUCACUUACUGUCAAAUAAAUGAGUUUAGUCUUCAAGUUUGGAAAACGCAGAUUUCGAACUGUAAUGAAAAUUGUUCGACCCAUCAUUUACGCAAAAACUGAUAUCAGGGUUGUAAUACCGCAUUACGUCACAGAGAAUGUAACAAAAUCUGAACCGACGAUGCAGCGAUUAGCGAGGACCAUGUUUAUGUAGGAAUAUAGAGCCAAAUCCUUUGCAAACAAGCAACGCAGCAGAAAUGGAGAGGGGAUGCAAACAUAACAGGUGGUUGUUGAAUGGCGAACAUUCAUUAACUUCACCUACAAAGCCUCUGGGCUUAUUAUACACUGUUGACACUAAUCUAGAACUAACAUGUAAACUCCAGUGCCCGGCAGCAUAUAAGAAGCAAACAUGUCUACAAAUGCUUUUCAAUAGUUAAAGUAAUUAAAACUUAAGUCUGUCACCUCUGCAAAUUACGACUAAGAUAACCUAUCCUAAAUCUAUCGAAAGUACAUUCUAGCUGGAACCAAGCCUCCAAACUAAACAAUACUGAUAAUUUUUUACAUAGUUAAAAUGUUUAUUAUCAAUUCUUGCGCAUAUUUCAGCUGCUCUGUCUCAGAGUAAUUUACGAAGUAGACAGGCUUUUAUUUGGCAUGCUGUAAUAUCGCACUUAGCUCAAUAGGGAGAGCGAAAAUCUACUGAUCGUGGGGCCACGAGUUCGAUCCUCGGGUGAGGCGUAUUUUCCUCGUGACAAUUUGAUACUAGACAUUGUGACAGGGGUCAUUUCGUCCUCCACCUCUGAAUCAUGUGUAGAAAUUGGCAGUUACUUGCGGAGAACAGAUUUGUACUGUUACAGAAUCUAAGAACAUUAGAUUAACUGUCCGCCGUUACAUAGUCGAAAUAUUAUUGAAAACACGGCGUAAACACAAAACGAAACAAACAAAAAAUCCCCUUCGAAUUCUCGUAUCGGUAUACAUGUAAUUAAAUUAUUAUGGACAGUGAUCAACAGGUAUAGAUCUUCAUAAACUUUGAGAUACUAUGAAGUUUGACUAUAAAAAAUAUAAUGUCUUAAGUCUUUUUGUUGCACUCAUUUUUUACACAUAGAGUUUCAGUCACGAAGUGCUAAUUUUCUAACACACCGGGAAUAUUAUCUCGCGUCUCUGGCGUCAAUUUACGUAACGUGACAACUUACGCGAUAAAUGACUUACACUUUUGGUGAGAGACAUUGCAGCUUUUGAAUCUGAGCAGACAUUAGAAGAUGGUGUGUUGAUAGGUCUUGUCAAAGCUAUACCAGUUUGUCACCAUGGUUACACUACUAAUUUUUCAUUUAGCAGUUUCUGCAAGAUACCUAUAACAGCUCAUUGACGCAAACAUUAAUUCGCACUUAUUUGAGAUACACACUUGG